rnacentral:rRNA from 1 species
UACGAAGGGGUGCAAGCGUUACUCGGAAUUACUGGGCGUAAAGGGUGCGUAGGUGGUCGUUUAAGUCCGUUGUGAAAUCCCUGGGCUCAACCUGGGAAUGGCAGUGGAUACUGGACGGCUAGAAUGCGGUAGAGGGUAGUGGAAUUCCCGGUGUAGCAGUGAAAUGCGUAGAGAUCGGGGAGGAACACCAGUGGCGAAGGCGGCUACCCUGGACCAGCAUUGACACUCAAGCACGAAAGCGUGGGGAGCAAACAGG